rnacentral:rRNA from 1 species
AUUGAACGCUGGCGGCAGGCUUAACACAUGCAAGUCGAACGAGUGGCGGACGGGUGAGUAAUGCUUGGGAAUCUAGCUUAUGGAGGGGGAUAAAUACGGGAAACUGUAGCUAAUACCGCGUACCAUAGGAUGAGCACACGUGGGAAUAGGGAGUUGGUGGGGUAAAGGCUCACCUAGGCGACGAUCACUAGCUGGUCUGAGAGGAUGAUCAGCCACACGGGGGCUGAGACACGGCCCAGACUCCUACGGGAGGCAGCAGUGGGGAAUUUUGCACAAUGGGCGCAAGCCUGAUGCAGCAAUGCCGCGUGUAUGAAGAAGGCCUUAGGGUUGUAAAGUACUUUCAGCAGGGAGGCGUUACCCGAAUAAGAAGCCCCGGCUAACUCCGUGCCAGCAGCCGCGGUAAUAC